rnacentral:rRNA from 1 species
UUUUCUCAGCUUAGUGGCGCACGGGUGAGUAACGCGUAUGCAACUUGCCUUUCACAGGGGGAUAACGCAUCGAAAGGUGCACUAAUACCGCAUGAGACCACGCUCCCGACAUGAGAGAGGGGUCAAAGGAGCAAUCCGGUGAGAGAUGGGCUCGCGUCUGAUUAGCUGGUUGGUGAGGUAACGGCCCACCAAGGCGACGAUCAGUAGCCGACCUGAGAGGGUGAUCGGCCACAUUGGAACUGAGAGACGGUCCAAACUCC